GCCAGGGAUCAAACCCACAUCCUCGUGGAUACUGGUCAGGUUCAUUACCACUGAGCCACAAUGGGGAACUCCAAACGACCCUGCUCUGACUACGGGUCUCUCUCUUUCCAUUACUUACGCACUUUAAUUUUUCCCAUCCUAGAUUGUAGGCCUCUUUGAAGCAAGAAACUACAGAUUAUUCCCCAUUCCAGGUAUUCCUGGGGUUGUCAGUUCUAAGAGUCAUCUAAUUUUUUUCCAGACCUGGAAUCGAUUGAUCUCAAACGUUGCCUUGGUUUAUGUUUUAAGAAUUCACUUAAUUCCUCUGAAUUCCAAGUUGACCCCACUGUAGCCUUGUUAUUCAGACUCUUUCAGAUUUCUUGGCUAAGUUCAUACAGGGUCAUAAACAAAUGUUUUAAUCAUAUAUUUUUAUAGGUCCUAUUUUUAUAGAACAUGAUUAAAAUUGUUUAAAAAAUAUAGGACUUAACUAUUUUCAUUUCAACUGACAAGUAUGCAGCUAAGUUUUCAUUUUUAUAAAAUCAAUAUUUUUGAGCUAUUUAAAAUACAUUCACAAUAUAUGGACCCUAAAAAAAAGUGUUUUUGGAAGUAACAUUACAUACCACUGCUUUGAAGAAUUCCUGUUGAAAAAUGGAUGCUUUAGAUCUACACAGGAUGGUAUUUGUUCCGCAGCCACCUGGUAUGGAGGGAAGAGUUCAACCUCUGAAAUUUGUUCCCAGCCUUCCCCUCACCUCACCCACCCUGGGGAGGGUAAAACUCAGCUCUGGAGGGGUGGGACGUCAGGUGCAUCCCCAGCUGUGAUCCAGCUGGGUGUGCUCUCAGCCGGAGCAAACGCGGAAGUGUAAGCCAUCUUGAAUUAAUCAUAAUUUUCUCUUGUUGGAGAAACCUCCGCAGCUGCACUGACACUUGACCUUGGGCCGAGUUCUUCUUAAUGGCUCUGUGCAUGGACAGAGAUGGGGUGUGCUGCACAAAACUGCGAUGGUGGCACAAAUUCUCCCUGCUACCCAGGAAGGGAGGGGAUGUGGCUUGUCCAGUCUAACCAAGGAGGGAAAGCAGAAAGAAACCAGCCUCCUCUCGUCGUUUCUCUAUUUCUCCAUAUUGAGUUUAUAACUGACGAUUGACCCGUAGACAUAUCAGUUUGUGAGGCGUGAAUAGUGCAUAGCCCCUUCAUGAUUUGGUAUUUUGAGAAACCAUGAUAUCUCGGCAUUUGGGUACCCCCCCCCCCGAGUGCCGUUCAGUGCCCACCUCCCGUGUGCCUGACCUGAGUGUCACAAUUCUGGAUCUUGUGCAGGAUAAAAGUGACCUAACACCUGUUUUCCACAUCACAGCCUCUGAGGUCUCUGUUAGAUUAAUGGGGCGUAGUUAAUAAGUUAUCAGGAAGAAUGUACCCACGUAUAUUUUAAUGGUCUUUUAUCAUAGCCCCACAAACUAUAAAGCAAUAAAACACAAUAAACUCAUUCUAAUCUUAGGUUAAAUGAUUUUAAGAAACAAUAGCAUUCACUGGCCAGCUAUGUCUGAAAGCUUUCGGUAAAAGCCAGAGUGUGAUACCCUUAUCUUGACUUUUUUCAGUUCAUUUUCUUGAGGCCUGUGUGUUUUCUGAAUGUGUCGUGAACUGUAACUUGCCUAAGGAAUUCCAUUGCAGUUAGAACACUGACUUCAGUGGAUGCCCAUAUAAAUAGCCUGCAGUGAAGGCAUAGUUUGCAUUCUACAUCAUGGAAUGCUAUGUAAAACCUAACUCUAUUGAAAUGCUAAUUCCUGUGGCCAACAUAAACUUGGGUCCUUUCCACAAAGGACGCAAAAGUAGAUAUUGGCAAAUCAAACAAACACAGCUAGUUGGUUUAAGGGAAAAAUGUAAAGUCUGCCCUAUAUGUUUGAGGCAUUUGCGUUGACAGAAUGUGUACUGUAUCAUUUAUCCAAAGCCGAGGGAAAUAGAUUUCUCAACACAAAUUAUGAGUAAAAUUCUAUAAUGAGUAACACAUGAAUCAGAUGUAGCAAGAGUUAAACCAAACAUAAUAAUUCAAAAGUAAUAUUUGUUUUAGAUUUGGAGAAAAAAAAGAAAUCCACCUGAAUUAUUUGUAUUUCAGAAAGGCUAUGCUUUCAGCAAACAUGGAAUACACACAUAAACACAUAGACACCAACACACCCACCUGCACAUGCACACACAGACACACCCCAUAAAGAUACAUAAACACACAGCAUCCAUUUACAUACCAACAUAAAGUAGUAUUAACUCUUGAUCUAUAAUUAAUUGCAAACUAGUUUUUCUUUCUCUUGAAUUUUUGUUCAGAGGACAAGCAAGUGAUCAGCGCCUAUGAGGCACACUUAGUGAAUAUUGGCUGACUUUGACUUAGUUGCAUUAAAUGAGCUCAGGACUGUGUCACAGAAUCCCUGAUUUAGAGAAAGCCACUUACAUACUGAUGGAGUGGAAGGAAUAAGUACACACUUUUGAUGUCAAAUGCUCACCCUGUUUUCCAUGGCAUGUUCCACACCGACACAGAUGCAGGCACAGGGGACAGAAUAUUCUGAAGUUGGAAAAGUGUGUCCAUCACUGGCUCCUAAAGGGACACCUUUAAAACACAAAAAUAAACGCCUAUUUUUCUUCCCUUUGUCUCAUUCUAUUUUGAGCCUCUCUGACACGGUUUGGUUUUUCUAAUAAAUCUCCAGUGCAGAAAGGAAACAAUGCCCAGGCUUCUGGAAGCAGAAGGAACUGUUAACUAAACUAAAGCAGAGAGUAUUAUUUUGCCCAACCUGGGGCAAAGUUAACAUGAAAAGAGGAACAAUUCUUAGAAUGCAGUUAUGUGAAUUUCCAAAUUCAGCCCACACUUCCACAUAAAGCCCUUUGCAGAGCCCACGUUUCUCUUCCAAAAGCGUUCCUUUUAAUUUUUUCCGCAUUGAGGAAUAAACAAACUACAGAGAGGGCGUCUAUUUUUGCUCUUUAGGUUAAACGGGGAGACGCCCAGGAUCUCCGUUUUCCUGAAGUUUGACCCCACUUGCAUGGAAACAAGGACCGGACAAACUGUGGCAUCUGCAGGGACCUCCUCUGGGCAGAUGUGGAAGCGUGAUGGGCCUUUCGCAGGCCCUUCCGCAGGCCCUGCCGCAGUGCCUAAUCUAAGGUAAAUAAGGCUUCGGUAUCCUCAGGUGGAGAACCCACAUUCCUGAAAGCUUUCUUGGGUCCGCAAAAAUAACCAAAAUAAAACGACAAGCCAGAUAAGAUUAUCGCACAACAGACCUAAGAACUGCUUGGCAUUGACGGUCAAUCUCUGCAGAUGCGUUCGGUCAACAAGGAGCCAUAAAAGGAACCAGGGGUUCACAGAGUUUAUUGGUCUCAUGGAAACACAAUAUUGAUCCGACAGGCAGGUCCACCUGAUAGGCUUCAAACACUGGUCAAAUAAUCAGUUACUGAUUUGAAGCAUUCAGAAGAUAAUUUUAAAAUAAUUUCUUCGGUGUGAAAAAAAAAGAAAACACCAUUUCAGUAUUUCAAGCCCUGAACGGUGUGAAGACUUAUGAAUUGCUAAUUCGAGUGAUGUGUAUGGUAGAGUCAAAAUUCUCUUUCAAGACCGAAAUCUUUAUCGGAAGACGUUUAGUGUUGGAUCUUUCACUGCCUUGUGAAACGGUGAAACCAGACGAAGAGCAGGGCAAAUGGAAGGCGAGUUACAGAUAACACAAAUGCCCCCAAACAUUUAUUCAUGUAGAUUCAUAGACUUUCCCCAUAAUUUUGCAUUUAUCAUAGAAUAAGGGGGAGUCAAGUUUUCACCAUGGGAUAGAUUGACUUUACCUAGGUUCCAGGCACAAUACAAAUUUUCCUUAGAUGUAACACUUUCUGAAAGCAAAGUCCUUUUGAAGUCUAGGAAAAAAGAAGAGACUCAUAGAAUGACUUUUCUCUGCGGACUGAUCUUAGGGCUCUUGGAUAAAAUGGACCAGGCACAGCACUUCCAUAAAAACUAGGAUCAUGCCGAUUUUCAGCUUGCUUUUCAUUUUGCAGAAUAAAGAAAAUCAACAAGGUUGUUUCUGACAUACCCAGACCAUCACUUUGUCUACCAUGAAACUGUUUGUCUGACUUUAGAAUCGAUUUAGUAUUUACAGACACCAAAAUACCUUAGGAAGGUGCUUCUUAACCCACUCUGUGGGUUUCCAACCCACUCGCAGUUUGCCUUGCGUUCAGAAUUUGGGCAGAGCUGCCAAUUCCGUGUUAAAAAAGGAAAAAGUGAAAAGAGUUUGUUUCUGCCUCCUUGGAUUCGGUUAACAUCUGCCGUCUUCCUGACCUGGAUUCUGACAACACAAUUGCUAUGAAAUAUUGGUUUGAACUUAAAACCAGAAAUCCUGAGUGUAGUUUUCUGCCAAAUAGGUGCUAGUUAAAACCAGCUGCCUGAAGCGGAACUUUUGCCUGCUUGAAGCUUUGCCUGUGAGCCGAUCUCAGACUGAGCCCUUUCAAAGGAGAGCCUGCUCUGCAUGUGCUUUUCCAGGAUGGAUGAAGGGCAUACUGGUAUUUGCAUCCAUUUUCAAGCCUGACCAUGGAAAAGGAUUCAGACUGAUGCCCAAUGCCUGCCGCAAAGUCUACGUGUCCUAGUGGGACAAGAUUCAGGAUUGUUUCAGGGGAGAAAUCCUGGCUGAAAUUCAGUGGGACACAUCUACACUCUUGAAAUGAAUGUACAAGGUAUUGGGACCCUCCACUGGAAUGAGCUGUGGCAACACCCAGGGCCAGCUGAGCCAUAUUGGAGCCCAGAGUGAAAGUGUCUCGGCCAUUUGUCAAAUGCUUAUGAAGCUUUGCUCUGUGGGAGGCGCCAUGCUGACCGUUGGAGAUGGGAAAGCCAAGGGAAAACGGUCUCCAGGAGUUUAACGUCCAGUGGGAAAGGUAAGAGUGAGAAAUGUGACCAUAUAGCCUGGUCAUCACAAAGCCAUAAACCUGUACCACCGUAAAGAAACACCGGCUGUAACCACGUUUCCGCCCUCAGACUUGGGAAGCCUCCAUCAGGGGAGCACAGUUUGAAUGGAGCCUUUCCUAGGAGUUUUCCUGGCAAAGACACAAGUAAGAAGGGCGUGGGUGGACCCUGGUCAUGCCCAGGGCACGUGUGAGGUGUGAAAAAGCUGACAGUUCCCAGGAGGGUGGUGGCGUCAGGGGAGGGUAUGUCAAAAGGAGUGGAAAGAGAUGCCCAAAGAAGGCGCCGUCGGCUGAGGUGAAGGUCCUGUUGAACGGAGUCUGCAUCUCACAUCCUGGAAGCCGACAAAGCAUCGUAAGCACGGGAGUUAUCCGUUCAAUUGUUUGUUGAAAGCUGAUUUUGACAGCAAGGUGGGAAAGGGACUGAGUGACGCAGGUUUGGAAAUCAGGGUCACUGUCAGUAAAUCUUGAUGGAAUAUGUUCUAAUAGUUGAGAGGGGAAAUACCAAAUCCACACGGUGUUAGAGUGAGGGGAACAGAGUGGCCCACAUGAAGAAUCCACAGAGAAUGGAUACAAUUUGGGUGUUCACGCGUUUCUAGUUUGGAAGGCUGGUUGACAAUGAGGGUAUCAAUGGAGAUGCAGGAUAUAGUAGGUAGACCAUGAUUUAAGGGAGGCAUUAAAGACUACACACUGCAAGAGUUCCCAUUGUGGUUCAGCAGAAACGAAUCUGACUGGGAUCCAUGAGGACGCAGGUUCGAUCCCUGGCC